GACGAACCGUGCGAACGUUGUUCGGAUUCACUGGGCUUAAAGGGCGCGUAGGCGGGCUAGCAAGUCAGGGGUGAAAUCCUCCGGCUCAACCGGAGAACUGCCUUUGAUACUGCUAGUCUUGAGGAAGGUAGGGGCAUGUGGAACUUCCGGUGGAGCGGUGAAAUGCGUAGAUAUCGGAAGGAACGCCGGUGGCGAAAGCGACGUGCUGGACCUUUACUGACGCUGAGGCGCGAAAGCCAGGGGAGCAAACGGG
rnacentral:rRNA from 1 species